rfam:Streptomyces aureofaciens strain ATCC 10762 contig_33, whole genome shotgun sequence.
UGGUCGGGGGCGCUGCGGAGCGGAGCCGGGGAACCACGUUCCUCCGGGGUGAAUCGGCGCCAGGUCGGCCGUUGGUGAGGCCGUGAGGCGUCGUAGGGCAUGCUUCCGGCCCGAACCCGUCAGCUCACCCGGUAGGCGGAGGUAGGAAGAAGGA